UGGGUAGGGGAGCGUUCUGUAAGCCUGUGAAGGUGGCCUGUGAGGGUUGCUGGAGGUAUCAGAAGUGCGAAUGCUGACAUAAGUAACGAUAAAGCGGGUGAAAAGCCCGCUCGCCGGAAGACCAAGGGUUCCUGUCCAACGUUAAUCGGGGCAGGGUGAGUCGACCCCUAAGGCGAGGCCGAAAGGCGUAGUCGAUGGGAAACGGGUUAAUAUUCCCGUACUUGGUGUUACUGCGAAGGGGGGACGGAGAAGGCUAUGUUGGCCGGGCGACGGUUGUCCCGGUUUAAGCGUGUAGGUGUGUGUUCCAGGUAAAUCCGGUUCACUUUAACACUGAGGCGUGACGACGAGGCACUACGGUGCUGAAGCAACAAAUGCCCUGCUUCCAGGAAAAGCCUCUAAGCAUCAGGUAACAUCAAAUCGUACCCCAAACCGACACAGGUGGUCAGGUAGAGAAUACCAAGGCGCUUGAGAGAACUCGGGUGAAGGAACUAGGCAAAAUGGUGCCGUAACUUCGGGAGAAGGCACGCUGACACGUAGGUGAAGUGAUUUACUCAUGGAGCUGAAGUCAGUCGAAGAUACCAGCUGGCUGCAACUGUUUAUUAAAAACACAGCACUGUGCAAACACGAAAGUGGACGUAUACGGUGUGACGCCUGCCCGGUGCCGGAAGGUUAAUUGAUGGGGUCAGCGCAAGCGAAGCUCCUGAUCGAAGCCCCGGUAAACGGCGGCCGUAACUAUAACGGUCCUAAGGUAGCGAAAUUCCUUGUCGGGUAAGUUCCGACCUGCACGAAUGGCGUAAUGAUGGCCAGGCUGUCUCCACCCGAGACUCAGUGAAAUUGAACUCGCUGUGAAGAUGCAGUGUACCCGCGGCAAGACGGAAAGACCCCGUGAACCUUUACUAUAGCUUGACACUGAACAUUGAGCCUUGAUGUGUAGGAUAGGUGGGAGGCUUUGAAGCGUGGACGCCAGUCUGCGUGGAGCCGACCUUGAAAUACCACCCUUUAAUGUUUGAUGUUCUAACGUGGACCCGUAAUCCGGGUUGCGGACAGUGUCUGGUGGGUAGUUUGACUGGGGCGGUCUCCUCCUAAAGAGUAACGGAGGAGCACGAAGGUUGGCUAAUCCUGGUCGGACAUCAGGAGGUUAGUGCAAUGGCAUAAGCCAGCUUGACUGCGAGCGUGACGGCGCGAGCAGGUGCGAAAGCAGGUCAUAGUGAUCCGGUGGUUCUGAAUGGAAGGGCCAUCGCUCAACGGAUAAAAGGUACUCCGGGGAUAACAGGCUGAUACCGCCCAAGAGUUCAUAUCGACGGCGGUGUUUGGCACCUCGAUGUCGGCUCAUCACAUCCUGGGGCUGAAGUAGGUCCCAAGGGUAUGGCUGUUCGCCAUUUAAAGUGGUACGCGAGCUGGGUUUAGAACGUCGUGAGACAGUUCGGUCCCUAUCUGCCGUGGGCGCUGGAGAACUGAGGGGGGCUGCUCCUAGUACGAGAGGACCGGAGUGGACGCAUCACUGGUGUUCGGGUUGUCAUGCCAAUGGCACUGCCCGGUAGCUAAAUGCGGAAGAGAUAAGUGCUGAAAGCAUCUAAGCACGAAACUUGCCCCGAGAUGAGUUCU
rnacentral:rRNA from 3 species